UCCAGAAGAGCAAGAUACUUCAGAGAUGCUUUACUGAUCAAUUCUGCCAAACUGAGUGCAAGUUUUGAAGGAGAUGCUUUAUGGGAUUCAUUUUCCAGUUGCUGACUUGACUCAUCAUGCUCCAUUAAGACAGAGUUGUGCAAGCCUCCAUUAAGCAAGCCUCAGAAAUGGAAAACUGUGUCUUAUGGUUAUUUGAUGCGACAUCUAAGACUACGUUUUCAAUAAAACAGGAACCAAGCAGACUAUAUGGAAUGAGCCCAGAAAAUGGUUUUAUAAGAAGACAGCAUCAGGGUCAAUGCUUACGUCUGCCCUUUGCCACAGUUCUCCUUCAUUGUUUCAUGCAGAAAUAACUCACAUUUUAUGAUUAAAAAAAGUUUUGUUCUCAAGAUUCACUGCGGUGCUCACAUACACAUUGUCUGCGUUGAUUUUACAACAGAUAGGAAGAUACCGCCUUUCAAAUCGAUUUUGUGAAAAGUUAAACGUGAAAAGCUGCUCAACUUCUGUAUGUUGUGACAAAACUGAGCUGCACAAAACUGAACUGCCUCCCAACUUUGUUUCUACAUCUGUUUCAUUCAUUUGUAUUUAUUAUAAUUAUGUCUAGACUUGGUUUGCUGCAUUAUUUUAAACCUUUUUUCGCUUUUUACUUUUUUGCUUUUUUUUUUUUGCUUUUCUGUCUUUUUACUUUGACUGCUUACUUGGAGUAAAUAUUUUACUAAUUCUAUUUUAACUGAGUAACAAUGUGUCUAUAGAACACUAUAAUGUUAUAUUAGUUUUUGGGGGAAUCAAUAGGUAACUAACUGUGACAGCUUGGAAAUCAGAGAUCUAAUAUACCAUACUGGGAAGCAUAGACUAUCCUGGUUCUCAGGUAAGCAUGUGCCAUCAUUACUACAUGCCUGAGGCAACAGUUACCAUAUGCACUGGGAGUGUUGCCAUUAGAUUUCCAGGGAGGGUUCUACCAGAUUUUAAAUUAGGAAUGACCUUUAGAUAAAAUGGCAAGAUCUAAACAAUUCAG
rnacentral:lncRNA from 1 species